rnacentral:rRNA from 1 species
AUAGUAAUUAGUCUUUUAAUUGGAGGCUGGUAUGAAUGAUUGGACGAAAUUAAUUCUGUCUCAAUUAAAUUAAAAUUUAAAUUUAAUUUUUAAGUUAAAAAGCUUAAAUAUAUUUAUAGGACGAGAAGACCCUAUAGAGCUUUAUAAAAUUUUUUUAAUUGAUUUUUAAUUGAAUAUUAGAUUAAUAAAUUUUAUUUUGUUGGGGCGAUAGAAAAAUUAAUUUAACUUUUUUAAUUUUUAUUACAUUAAUUUAUGAAUAUUUGAUCCUAUAUUUUAGAUUAUUAGUUUAAGUUACCUUAGGGAUAACAGCGUUAUUUUUUUUGAA